rnacentral:rRNA from 1 species
UUCCAAGAGUGUCGUACGGGUGCGUAACACGUAUGCAACCUACCUUGUACAGGAGUAUAGCUCGGGGAAACUCGAAUUAACCCUCCAUAAUAUAUCGAUGUGGCAUCACAAUGAUAUUAAAACUACGGUGGUACAAGAUGGGCAUGCGUUUGAUUAGCUAGUUGGCGGUGUAAUGGACCACCAAGGCGAUGAUCAAUAGGGGAACUGAGAGGUUGAUCCCCCACACUGGCACUGAGAUACGGGCCAGACUCCUACGGGAGGCAGCAGUAGGGAAUAUUGGUCAAUGGAUGGAAGUCUGAACCAGCCAUGCCGCGUGCAGGAAGAAGGCCUUCUGGGUUGUAAACUGCUUUUGCCAGGGGAUAAAAAUUCUUUGCGAAGAAAAUUGAAGGUACCUGGUGAAUAAGCACCGGCUAACUACGUGCCAGCAGCCGCG